rnacentral:rRNA from 1 species
UACGGGGGGAGCAAGCGUUGUUCGGAUUUACUGGGCGUAAAGGGCGCGUAGGCGGCCACCGCAAGUCAGUUGUGAAAUCUCCGGGCUUAACUCGGAACGGUCAAGUGAUACUGUCGGACUAGAGUACAGAAGGGGCAACUGGAAUUCUCGGUGUAGCGGUGAAAUGCGUAGAUAUCGAGAGGAACACCUGCGGCGAAGGCGGGUUGCUGGGCUGAUACUGACGCUGAGGCGCGAAAGCCAGGGGAGCGAACGGG